UCCGGUUUGACACCGGCAGUCUCGCUAGAGUACUCGCCAUUACGCGUGAGCAACUAACGACAGGGGUUGCGCUCGUUAAGGGACUUAACCCGACACUUCACAGCACGAGCCGACGACAGCCAUGCAGCACCUGUGCACGUUCCACCCUUGCGGGCGUGGCUCCUGUUUCCAGGAGUUAAUCCGUACAUGUCAAACCCAGGAAAGGUUCUUCGCGUUGCCUCGAAUUAAGCAACAUGCUCCACCGCUUGUGUGAGCCCCCGUCAAUUCCUUUGAGUUUUAGCCUUGUGACCGUACUCCCCAGGCGGUGCACUUAUUGUUUUUACUUCGACCGAACCGGCGUCAGAGCCACUCCGAUCUAGUGCACAUCGUUUACGGCGUGGACUAC
rnacentral:misc_RNA from 1 species